rnacentral:lncRNA from 1 species
GUUUACCUAUUCAAAAUGGGAUAUGUGCAAGGUAUUACCAGUUAUUUAUUGUUCUCAUGGAUAUCAGUCUUAGCAUCAAAAGUAGUGGGACAGCCAGACAUUAUGUGCCUCCUGAUGUGUUGCAAUACGAAAUUUAUAACACCGCCUACAAAGUGGUCUUGCCAAAAAUGCUUAACUGAAGCUAAUCGAGCUUUGAGCUUUAACUUCCAGCUUACAGAAAAUUCAAAGGAAAGGCAAGAGUAAAAUGAUACUGUAUCCUCACGUCCCACAGUCCAUCACAUAAUAGUGCAAAUCCCCCUGCCUUAUCACUCCUCAUUGUACUUGCCUGACAAAACCUCAGUCUGGUUAAACCCAGUAUUCUAUUCCCUGGGCCAACUGCAUGCCUACCUCUGAGCAGCUGCUUGUGGCUCAUAGAAGGCACAUCACCGUGCUGACUCCUAUCAUUUUGAAUCUCUGACCACAAACCUCAAGUGAGCCCCUGGGACUCCUCAGCAAUUCCACUCUCUUCAAACCUCCAAAACCACUUUCCUCUUCCUCACUCUCAACUGAUCAGCUCACUUCUCAUUUUACUGAGAAAAUAAAAGCAGUCAUUAGAGAACUUCCUCGUCUGCUCACCGCAAAAUCUAUGCUUCUACCUUCAGCUUUACCAUAACUUUUUCAGCCUUCCUUUUUCAGGAGUAGAUAAACCUACCGUGCUCCAGUCUAGGGCUUAACCCCUUCCUUUCAUCCCCAGUCAUUACUCCAGGGACUUUGUUCCUGCAGCUUUCCCUCUUUUUUUAAUCUGUCAAAUUUCCCCAUAAAUUGGAUCAGCAUCAACAAGGCUGUGAUAUUUUUAUCCCUUAAUCUUGGUGCUGUGCUUUACAUUAUAGCAAAAUUCCAGGAAAGCUGUGUCUAAAUUCAGCUUCUUACUCCCUCAUUUUUCCUACCUCCUCCCACCCUCAAAAUUAGAAUAGUAUAGUGAGUAUCUUUGUCCCUACUGCCUAGUUUCAGACACAUUUAGAGCUCUUUUCUGUCUCUCCUGGGUCACAGCCCCUUCCAUCAUGCCUUACCCCAGCGGUAGCUCAGUUCCCCUGCAGCAGGAGACAUGGUUGAUGGUUGCUCCCAUUAAUGACUGUGCAUGGUGGAGAUACAGGUUCAGGCCCAUUUUUGUUUGAUGUAAGACUUCUCCAAAAGGUGACUGGCUUAGGGACUCCUCAUCAGCCUGGCCAGGACAUUCUUCCAUCCCUGCUGCAGACUGAGUCUCUCUCGCCCAACCCUUCUUUUUUUCUCUAUCUCCUUUCACGGGGUGCCAUUCCUGCAUUGCGGCGUGAAGGGUUUUCUCAUAACUCCCACUUCUUCCCCUUUAUUCUUCACAGCCAUUUCCCCUAAAAGUUUCCUGCCACCUAAUCCUAUCCUGAUAACACAGACACUAUCCUGAUUUGGGUGUUUAUUAUUUCAUGUUUGUCUGUCUUUCUGACUUUUUUUUUUAAGGCUGCCCCUGCUGCAAUUGGAAGUUCCUAGUCUAGGUGUCAUAGUGGAGCUGCAGCUGCCACCCUACUUCACAGUCACAGCAACACUAGGUCCGAGCUGCUUCUGUGACCUACACCACAGCUCACAGCAGAACAAAUCCUUAACCCGCUGAGCAAGUCCAGAGAUCGAACCUACAUCCUCAGGAAUACUAGUUCGGUUCUUAACCCACUGAGCCUCAAUGGGAACUCUUGUCUUUCUGUCUUUUAUAUGUUCAUAUACUAUUGUUUUAUGCUAUCAAGAUUUGUAGACAGCCUCUGUAUCUUGCUUUUUUUGCACAAUGAUAUUUAAGAUUUACCUAUGUUGAAUUAUAUAGCUGAUAAUUCAUUUUAGUGUUGUAUUAAUACAUUAUAUAAAUAUAUUCUAAUUCAUUUAUUCCUUCUCUGUUAAUGCACAUAUAUGCUGUUACAAACUUUUGCUGUUAUAAUGUAGCAAAGAACACUCUUUUAUCUAUCUCCAUUGUAUCCUCCUGUAAGAAUUUCUCUGUGACAUAUAGGAGUUAAAUGCUGAGUUGUAGCGUAUGUGCAUCUUUGACUUCACAAGGUAUUGUCAAAUUGUUCUCCAAAAUGAUUGUUUCAAUUUUCACUCCUACUAGCAGCAAAUGAGAUGUUCUUGCUUGCCUAUAUUCUUGUCAUCUCUUGCUAUGUCAGAUUUUUUGGUUUUGGCUAAUAUGAUGGGUCUCUCUCACCCAAGAUAAAAGUAUCUUAGCAUGGUUUUAAUGUGCAUUUCCCUGAUUACUAGUGAGAUAGAGAAAUUUAUUUUAUGUUUAUCAGCCCUCUUCUUUGCAAUACAUGUUUUUCAUAUUGACAUUGGAAUUCUUUAUAUAUUCUGGAUAUCAAUGUUUUGUCAGUUAUCUUCAUUGCAAAUAUAUGAUUCCAGGCUGUGACAUGUCUUUUCACUUUAUUUAUGGCAUCUUUUGAAUCACAGAAGUAUAAAAUUUUAAUGUAGUCAAAUAUUUCAAUCUUUUCCUUUAUGGCUCUCUCUCUCUCUCUUUCUGUGUCUUCUUUUUAAUGUGCCUCAUUUCAAAAAUUCUAGUCUAUACUGAGAUCAUAAAUAUAUUCUCACAAUUUAUCCCAGAAGAUUUAAAAUCUGCCUUUCACAUUUAGAAUUUCAGUGUAUUCGGAAUUGAUUUUUGUGGAUUUUUGUUACCUAAUAAUCCAAUUCAUUUUUUUUUUCAGUUUGAAUAACAAUUAACCCAGCAUCUAUUUUGAGUAGUCUAGCCUUUCCUUGCUGAUCAGUAAUGCCAUAUAUCAAGUAUCCGUAUAUUUGGGUCUUUUUAUGAGCUCUUUAUUUUGUUUUAUUGAUCUAUUUGUCCAUUCUAGCACCGUUAUCACACCUUUAAAAAAUUAUUACAGUUUUAUGAUUCUUGCCAUCUGUUUUUCUUCAAAUCUGUCUUGGCUCUUCUUGAUUUUUGCAUAUCUGUGUAAGUUUAAAAUCAGCUUGUUAUGUUCUGUGAGAAACCCUAUUGAGAAUUUGAUUGGAAGAGCUUUGAAGUAGCCAAUUAAUAUGGAAAAAAAAAUGGACAUCUUUACAAAACUGACUCUUUCUACACACAAACAUGGUUUAUCUCUUGAUUGAUUUGUUCAGAUCUUUAAUUUCUUUCAAUAAAGGUUUACAAUUUUAUUCUAAGUCUUUGCGAUUGCAAAUGGCUUUAAGGUUUUUUCACUUUGUUUUUGUGUGUAGUAAUCCUGUUGAUUAUUGAACAUUGGUCUUCUAUCUAGCAAUAUCGGUGAUCUCUCUUAUUGAUUAUAAUACUUGGAUGACAUAUUCUUUUGGUUUUCCUGUUAUAUAAUCUCUUUUUUUUUUUUUUUGGUCUUUUUAGGGUCGCCCCUGUGGCAUAUGGAGGUUCCCAGGCUAGGGGUCGAAUUGGAGCUACAGCUGCCAGCCUACAACCACAGCCACAGCAAUGCCAGAUCCAAGCCAUGUCUGCAACCUACACCACAGCUCACGGCAACACUGGAUCCUUAACCCACCGAGCAAGGCCAGGGAUCGAUCCUGCGUCCCCAUGGAUGCUAGUCAGAUUUGUUUCUGCUGAGCCACGACAGGAACUCCCUCAAUCUCAAUUUAAUCAGGCUUUCAUUCUCAUCAAUGCACUGAAACCUUUUUUAUUGGAGUCAUCAAUAGCCUUCAUGUUAGUAAAUCCAGUGGUUAAAUCUCAGUCCUCAGUUUACUCAACCUCUCAGCAUCGAUAACUAUGACUAUACCUCCUUUCUUCACUUCUUCUGGGACAACAUCUCCCAGUUUCCUCCUAAGCCCUUGCUGCCUAUUCUCAGUCUCUCUUGCUGUUUCCUCGUCAUGUCCUAAUCAGUCAGUUUGGAAUGAUCCGGUGCUAGAUCCUUCAACCUUCCCUUUUCUCAUUACACUCACUCUCCAGGGGAUCUCACUCAGCCCAGGAGCCCUUAACUCAACAUUCCGUCUCUAGCACCACUCUCUCUUGAAUGCUACCCUUCUUAAGGCAGUAGUCAGCUCAACACUUUUACUUGGAAGGCUAAUUGUCAUCUCACACUAAGCAAACCCAAAACACGCACUUUGACCUCUCUCCCCACAAUAAGAUCUUCCCCAAAGAUUCUUUAUUUUGGCGACUAUCAGCACCAUUUGUCUGCUACCAGAGCCCAAAACAUAAUCUUCAACUUAGAUUUCUUUUUCUCCUACAUCCAAUAUUCAAUGUAUUUGCAAAUCCUAUUGACUCAGCCUUAAAAAUACAUUAUAAAUCUGACCACUUCUCAUCACUUCUUCGCCCCUACCUUGGUCUGAGGGGCUAUCAUUUUUUCCCCCCGAUCUAAUGCAGUAACCCAUCCAGCUGAUCUCCUUGUUUCCACCUUGUCCCACUACAGUCAUAUUCCAUACAGCAGCUGAAAUGAUUUUCUACGAACAGAGAUAAACCUGGUGAUUUCCAUGCUCAAAACUUUCUGAUGACUCGUUGUCACACUUGGAGUAUAAUCAAGUAUCUUCCUGUGGCACAAAGUCUCAUGUGAACUGACCUUUGGGGACUUUCUGACCUCAUUUUCUAUCUUCCCUUCAUUUAUUCCAUUUAAGCCAACUGUCUUCAAGCAUAGCAAAGCUUCAGAGCCUGUGUUCGCACAACCCCUGCCAUCUUGCGGGACUGCCUGCAGAGAUGGGUGGUGAAGGCACUGGAGAGAUAAUACCUUUUCUGAGACUACAGAUGUAACCUGGGGAAAAGCGUCUCUGCUUUUGGCUUUCCCCUUGGGAUCUCACUGGCUCAUUGGCUCAGACAGAGGGUGGGGAGAGGUGAGCACAAAGUUGAGGGAGAAUCCCCGACCAUCGCACGACUGCUUUCCUCCCUCUCUGUCCCUUUUUUCUCCUUUCUACCCAUCCCUUGGGCUUCCUUUCUGGCAGUACUUUCCCCACGUCUUAGUCUAGUCUUCCUUGAGGUGAACUUCCCCGGCCGUCUGCCUUCACGCCACAGCAGCAGACAGAUGUCAGGAAAAGGAGCCAGAUUUCUGAUCACAGGAGAUCCAAAAAUCUGACCCAUGUUACCUAGGAAAACAAGAAUGUUAAAAUGUCUCAUUGUAUUUUAUUAAAAUGGCAUGCGAGGUAUCUUGAGGAUUCAUCCCCUACCCUGUAUAAAGUGGGGCUACUAACACUGCAUGAAAAGGGGGUAUGAGAAAUCAAAUGAAAAAGAAUGGACAGAGCCUGGGAGAAGGCCUGGCUCAUAGAACUUGGCUCAGAACUGGCUCAUUGCCUCUCUCUCUUCCUAGGAGAGUAAUGGAAUGUUAUUAUGUUUUUUUCCUAGAGCAUGAAUUGUUUUAAUUAUGGAUGUUUUAAAAAUGUUUGUUAUUAAUCCCUUUCUAUAAAUGAUUAAAAAGGCUGCCUGUCUUCUCUGUGCACGUAGUUAAAAGCUUUUCAUCCUUAAUGUAAGCUCUCCAGAAGGAAAUGUUUGAAAGAGGAACCAUGUGCAGGAGAUGCCAAGAAGCUAUUACUGGUCAAGCAAACUGAUACCCAAUACGAUUAAGACCCGCAAGUACUUAUGACCAUUAUUUCACUGGUCACCAUGAUUCGUUAUUAGUUAGGAAAAAAAAAA